rnacentral:rRNA from 1 species
GGAUUAGGCAUGCAAGUCGCACGAGAAAGGCUUCUUCGGAAGCCGAGUAAAGUGGCGAACGGGUGAGUAAUGCAUAGACAACUCGCCCUUGAGAUGGGGACAACGCCUCGAAAGGGGUGCUAAUACCCAAUGCCGCCUUGGGCCUGCGGGUCCAGGGUGAAAGGAGGCCUCUGAUUCAAGCUUCCGCUCAAGGAGAGGUUUAUGUCCUAUUAGCUAGUUGGCGGGGUAACGGCCCACCAAGGCUGCGAUGGGUAGCCGACCUGAGAGGGUGACCGGCCACAUUGGGACUGAGACACUGCCCAGACUCCUACGGGAGGCUGCAGUCGAGAAUCUUCCGCAAUGCGCGCAAGCGUGACGGAGCGACGCCGCGUGGGUGAUGAAGGCCUUCGGGUUGUAAAACCCUGUCAGCUACUACGAAACACGGGCGAUGAACAAUCGUCCCGUCUGACUUAAGUAGCAGAGGAAGCACCGGCUAACUACGUGCCAGCAGCCGCGGUAAUACGUAGGGUGCGAACGUUGUUCGGAAUCACUGGGCAUAAAGGGCGCGUAGGCGGUCUGAUAAGUCAGGUGUGAAAUCCCUCGGCCUAACCGAGGAACUGCAUUUGAUACUGUCGGGCUAGAUUACAGGAGGGGAGAGUGGAAUUCCUGGUGGAGUGGUGAAAUGCGUAGAUAUCAGAGGAACGCCGGCGGCGAAAGCGACUCUCUGGCCUGUUACUGACGCUGAGGCGCGAAAGCUAGGGGAGCAAACGGGAUUAGAUACCCCGGUAGUCCUAGCCCUAAACGAUGGGCACUAAGUAGAGGGGUUUU